AAAGGGGGGGCUGCUGAAAAAAUGUGUCUUGACUACUUUCACUUUCAAAAGCUCUGCUUUCAAAAGUGAGAUCGGAAUAAUAUAUGCAAAUUCCGAUAUGCAAAGUGUCCUCUUUCCACACUUUAAUGUAGUCUAGAUGAGCUCCCAAUUAUUGGAUCCAGUCUCUUGAGGACUAUAAUAUUUCUCCUCACACAUAAUCUUGAAUAUUCUUAAGGUUUCUCAAGCACUGGGGUUCCAUUUAGACCAAUCUGACAAAUUUACAAGAUGUGUUAGUUUAUUCUAGGACUAUACAAAUAUUAAAAAUAGCCUAAUCUAAUUCAUCUUUGCUAAUUUUAUUUGGAGAUAAAACCACAUUCUUCUGGAUUUUGGAGACAAUACAUUUGUCACUCUUAUGAUUAAAAACAAAAAACAAAAAAGCAAGAAAAUUCUUUAACAUCUCAGUUGUGGUCUUAACACAUCUGAAGGUUCAAAUUCUUCUAAUCAACCACAUGGUACAAAUAGUAGUUCUGUGGCCAUUGCUAUCCUUGUGCCUUUCUUUGCCCUUAUAUUUGCAGGUUUUGGGUUUUACCUUUAUAAACAAAGGACUGCACCGAAAACACAGUAUACAGGAUGCUCUGUUCAUGAAAAUAACAAUGGACAAGCUGCUUUUGAAAACCCCAUGUAUGACACAAAUGCGAAGUCUGUAGAAGGAAAAGCUGUACGAUUUGACCCGAACUUGAACACUGUCUGCACAAUGGUAUAAUGUGGCAAUGCUUUGUCUUCAGGAGUCUGGAAAUUGAAACACAACACAGUGCACAUAUAGUUCACUGAUAAAAAAUUAAAGCACACUUUUCAGGA